GUAGUAUUCCCUCCGUCCCAAAAUUCUUGUCUUACAUUUGUUUAGAUACGGAUGUAUCUAACACUAAAAUGUAACUAGCUACAUCUGUAUUUAGACAAAUUUAAGACAAGAAUUUUGGGACGGAGGGAGUACAAA
rfam:Triticum aestivum genome assembly, contig: Triticum_aestivum_CS42_TGACv1_scaffold_226823_3B